AAAACCUGUCAGUCCGACGGAUCCCAGACCACCGUCAGUCCCCAACUGGAGGCGUUGGUAGCGGCGAACAACCGCUUCGCACUUGAAGCUUACAGCCAGCUAGCGGGGUGCCGACGAUGGGAAUGUGUUCUUUUCUCCCUACAGCCUGGCCACAGGCUUAAUGGUGCUGAUCGGCGCGCGGAGCGAAACGGCAGAAGAAAUGGCACUGGCGCUGCAGUUGGAAGAUCUCGACGCCGAGCUAGCCAGUUUUGCAGAAGAACUGCACACA
rnacentral:misc_RNA from 1 species